rnacentral:rRNA from 1 species
UACGUAGGGGGCAAGCGUUGUCCGGAAUCAUUGGGCGUAAAGCGCGCGUAGGCGGCCCGGUAAGUCCGCUGUAAAAAGUCAAGGGCUCAACCCUUGAACGCCGGUGGAUACUGCCGGGCUAGAGUCCGGAAGAGGCGAGUGGAAUUCCUGGUGUAGCGGUGAAAUGCGUAGAGAUGUGGAGGAACACCAGUGGCGAAGGCGGCCUCCUGGUACACUCCUGACACUCAGACGCGAAAGCUAGGGGGAGCGAAACGGGG